GUAAACGAUGGAUACUAGCUGUCGGGACCUCGGUCUCGGCGGCCAAGCGAAAGUGAUAAGUAUCCCACCUGGGGAGUACGUUCGCAAGAAUGAAACUCAAAGGAAUUGACGGGGGCCCGCACAAGCGGUGGAGCAUGUGGUUUAAUUCGAUGAUACGCGAGGAACCUUACCAGGGCUUAAAUGUAGAUUGCAUGGGGCAGAGACGCCCCUUUCUUCGGACCAUCUACAAGGUGCUGCAUGGUUGUCGUCAGCUCGUGCCGUGAGGUGUCAGGUUAAGUCCUAUAACGAGCGCAACCCCUACCGUUAGUUGCCAGCAUGUAAAGAUGGGGACUCUAACGGGACUGCCGGUGCAAACCGUGAGGAAGGUGGGGACGACGUCAAAUCAUCACGGCCCUUACGUCCUGGGCCACACACGUGCUACAAUGGCCGGUACAGAGGGAAGCCACCACGCAAGUGGGCGCGGAUCUAUAAAACCGGUCACAGUUCGGAUCGGGGUCUGCAACUCGACCCCGUGAAGCUGGAAUCGCUAGUAAUCGGAUAUCAGCCAUGAUCCGGUGAAUACGUUCCCGGGCCUUGUACACACCGCCCGUCAAGCCAUGGAAGCUGGGGGUGCCUGAAG
rnacentral:rRNA from 1 species